rnacentral:rRNA from 1 species
CGCGUAGGCGGUUCGCCAAGUCUGGGGUGAAAUCUUUCGGCUUAACCGGAAAAUUGCCUGGGAUACUGGCGGGCUUGAGGGAGGUAGGGGUUGUGGGAACUUCCGGUGGAGCGGUGAAAUGCGUUGAUAUCGGAAGGAACGCCGGUGGCGAAAGCGCACAACUGGACCUCUUCUGACGCUGAGGCGCGAAAGCUAGGGGAGCAAACG